UAGGGAAUCUUCCGCAAUGGGCGAAAGCCUGACGGAGCAACGCCGCGUGAGUGAUGAAGGUCUUCGGAUCGUAAAACUCUGUUAUUAGGGAAGAACAAAUGUGUAAGUAACUAUGCACGUCUUGACGGUACCUAAUCAGAAAGCCACGGCUAACUACGUGCCAGCAGCCGCGGUAAUACGUAGGUGGCAAGCGUUAUCCGGAAUUAUUGGGCGUAAAGCGCGCGUAGGCGGUUUUUUAAGUCUGAUGUGAAAGCCCACGGCUCAACCGUGGAGGGUCAAUGGAAACUGGAAAACUUGAGUGCAGAAGAGGAAAGUGGAAUUCCAAGUGUAGCGGUGAAAUGCGCAGAGAUAUGGGGGAACACCAGUGGCGAAGGCGACUUUCUGGUCUGUAACUGACGCUGAUGUGCGAAAGCGUGGGGAUCAAACAGG
rnacentral:rRNA from 1 species